AUUAUAAUGUAAUAAGGAUCAGGGCUCCCCUCUCCUGCCAGCUGUCACUGUGUGUAAUAUAUCAUAGCGGGGGACACACAGACUGUAUUAUAAUGUAAUAAGGAUCAGGGCUCCCCUCUCCUGCCAGCUGUCACUGUGUGUAAUAUAUCAUAGCGGGGGGGACACACAGACUGUAUUAUAAUGUAAUAAGGAUCAGGGCUCCCCUCUCCUGCCAGCUGUCACUGUGUGUAAUAUAUCAUAGCGGGGGACACACAGACUGUAUUAUAAUGUAAUAAGGAUCAGGGCUCCCCUCUCCUGCCAGCUGUCACUGUGUGUAAUAUAUCAUAGCAGGACACACAGAC